rnacentral:lncRNA from 1 species
AUAAUAAUAAUUAAUACAUUAAUAAAUAUCAUAAUAUUUUAUUAUGGUAUAUUUUAUAUGAUUAAUAAAUAUAUUUUUUUGAAUAUAUUUGGGAUAGCUUGGGUAUUAUAUGAUCGUUGAUGCCCAAAAAUCUUUAUUUAAUAGAACAUGAUAUAUCAAAUAUGGUGAUCUUAAAUCAUUAGCGAACAAAUUAUCUCGAGAUAC